ACCUGGUGACGUCAGUUUGGCACGGUGCUGUUCCCUCGUCGCUGGUUUCGGCGUGGAUCGUGGACCUCGUGUUAGUAUCGGAUGCAUGCAUCACGCUCAGCUCCAUUCAGACAGGUAAAUGAUACGUUGGCGCUUGUGUGGUGCUGGCGCUUCUGGCUCUCCUGUCUAGUCGCGACGACGUGUUCGUGUUUGUAAACAAUAGUUGGUUCCGAUUAUCCUUCGCCGAUACUAUCGCUUGUCGUCUUGUCCAGUGUCGUGAGCUUCUAACGGUUGGAUUUUUGUGACUUCUUCGGCGAUCAGGAGCCCUCGCACUUCCCUCAGGAUUUACGUGCAUUGUGAUCAACGGUGCACCUUAUCGGAGAGAACCGGAAGAAGUUUCGAGGGUUCUCAUCACAGCGGUCAGGAUGGAGUCGUGGAUGGUGGACAUAAAACGAGUGAAAAUUCCGCGAC